UCGCACUGAGUUCAGUUUGGUAGAACACGAGUCUCCAAAACCUGACGUCAUAUGUUCAAAUCCUAUAGAGCGUG
rfam:Lupinus angustifolius cultivar Tanjil contig_5222, whole genome shotgun sequence.